GUCUAUGGCCAUGCCACACUGAAUGUGCCUGAUCUCAUCUGAUCUUGGAAGUUAAGCAGGAUCGGGCCUGGUUAGUACUUGGAUGGGAAACCGCCUAGGAAUACCAGGUGCUAUAGGCA
rnacentral:rRNA from 1 species